GUCAGACAGCUAAGCUGGAGUUUGCACACUAGACAGAAGAGGACUGGGAAAGCCGUUACCGGGGAAACCUCGAUCUCUACAACUACAACAGCGACUCCUGCUGGCAGAGAAUGAGUUUGCAUAUAAGGCGGGCCUUCAUCAAACCCCGAACAAAUCAAGCAGUUUGAACCAGGCUGGAGAGAAAGAAAACAAGACACCAGAUGCUCUGUAAAUAUCGAAAAUUUAACGAUGGACACACAUUGAGAUGCAGCUCAGCUGAUGUUCACAUUAUUCCACGUAUAUCUUCAAAUUUGAACAUGACCAAAUGGUGGUUAUAUUUCCAAGGCAGAAGAAGAGAGAAUCUCCUUUGUGAGAGAAGCCUCUUGUGUCACUGUGUGCUGAGGACUGUGAUAUCUCAGCAGGCCAAACACCACGUUCCUCUUCAGGAAGUAUUGAGCCCCAGUUGAUGCUCCUGGCCCCCAGGUGAACUCUGUAAAUGCCCGGUCCCUCUUUUCUUCUCUUCUAUACCUCUCUGUUCGUGUCCUUCCUCCCUUGUGUACAGACUACCUUAAAAAAAAAAAAACAACUCCAGCUAGCUUCAAAGUGUCCUUUUUGUCUGUUGAAUGAUGCUUGUUGUUUGUAGUUUUAAAUGUCUUGUCAUUUACGAUAAAAUGCAAAUGUACUGAAGUGCCAGACUAGACAUGCAUGUGUGGGUGAUUUCUUAUGCAAUAUGUCCAUCUGAGACAGUCUUGAUUUAUUAAUGUUUUGAUAUCUGGAUGAUUUUUUGAUACAUGAAGGUACUGUAUGUAUACAUAUUUUAAUUUAUAAAUUAAAAACUGGAGACAAACAACAAUAAUUGAACACUACAAUUAGCCAUAAAUGUCAAGAAUAUAGUCAAUACUACUUGAUGAUGGGCACUAGUUAUUAUAUUAUUGUCAUUUUUUCCUCAACCCUAUGUUGUUUUAACCCCUUUGUUUUUGUCCUGUAAAACACAAAUGGAGUUUUAGGCAGGAUAUCAGAGCUCCUGAUUUCCAUGCAGGGAAUCCAACAUUUGAUCUGUUAAGCUUCAAAAGGACAAAAAACAUCCAUAAAAGUGUGUGUUUUUUGAAAGUCUGACUCUUGACACAAUUUAUUGAGUUUUAAAUGCAUAUUUGUGCAGUAACAGAAUGUAUUAGUGAUGCAGUAGCAAUAUGAAUUUUGGAAUAGAUUACACAUCUGUCAGGAGAGAUAAUGUAUGUUCAGCCUGUUUUCUUAGCAGACCGUUUUAAUUCUACAACAAAUUAUUGGUCUCAUAUCCAUGUUUAGCUGUCACAUUCAUCUCGCAAGAAUUUUUACCAGACAUUUUGAUUGUCUU
ensembl:lncRNA